CGCUCUCUCGGGUCUAGACAAUGUUGCCUAAGCAUGUUGCUGGUAUCAUGCUGCUGACAGCAUUUUGCUGUGCAGGAGGUGGAGUACGGAAAAGUCUUUACCCUGUGCUUUAUUUACAGUUAAAAUACAAAUUUAUAUCAAAGUGUACGGGAAAUACUGAGAGGAUGCAUUGCACAGGGCGCUUAAGCACAAUGAGGGAAAUGUCGACCGAUGGCACUGCAAUCCCACAAGCUACAGAAAUAUUUAAAAUAAUACAUGAUUCGGGUGAAUUGGAUCCACUGGCGGCACACACACUUCCCGCUCAACUUAUCACAGUUUUGCAAACAUAAAUAUAGCGAAGGACCGUUGGCCGUUCCACACAAAAUAUGUAUGUAUAUGUCUAUUUAACAGAUUCAUGUAGUACAUAGAUAUGUAUGUUAUUUGCCUUUUAAAGCACAAUAUAUUAUUUCUAUGUUGUAUAAA